GAUGAACGCUAGCGGGAGGCCUAACACAUGCAAGCCGAGCGGUAUUGUUUCUUCGGAAAUGAGAGAGCGGCGUACGGGUGCGUAACACGUGUGCAACCUGCCUUUAUCUGGGGGAUAGCCUUUCGAAAGGAAGAUUAAUACUCCAUAAUAUAUUGAACGGCAUCGUUUAAUAUUGAAAGCUCCGGCGGAUAGAGAUGGGCACGCGCAAGAUUAGCUAGUUGGUGGGGUAACGGCUCACCAAGGAGAUGAUCUUUAGGGGGCCUGAGAGGGUGAUCCCCCACACUGGUACUGAGACACGGACCAGGAUCCUGCGGGAGGCAGCAGUGAGGAAUAGUGGUCAAUGGGUGCAAGCCUGAACCAGCCAUCCCGCGUGAAGGAAGACUGCCCUAUGGGUUGUAAACUUCUUUUGUAUAGGGAUAAACCUACCCUCGUGAGGGUAGCUGAAGGUACUAUACGAAUAAGCACCGGCUAACUCCGUGCCAGCCGCCGCGGUAAGAC
rnacentral:rRNA from 1 species